GUACAUGUUUCAGCAGUGUAUAAACUAAAACAACUGCAAUGAUACCAAGAUGACUAGCAGAGCCCCUGCACAAUAAUGACACCCAAAUUUGUGAAUGUUCUAUAUUUUUU
rnacentral:snRNA from 1 species